ACGCUCGACACCUACGGGAGGCAGCAGUGGGGAAUAUUGCGCAAUGGGGGCAACCCUGACGCAGCAACGCCGCGUGAGCGAUGAAGGUUUUCGGAUCGUAAAGCUCUGUUCUGAGGGAAGAUAGUGACGGUACCUCAGGAGAAAGCCCCGGCUAACUACGUGCCAGUAGCCGCGGUAAUCUGAGCGGGCUGGCAAGGC
rnacentral:rRNA from 1 species